rnacentral:rRNA from 1 species
UGAGUACGAGAUGCUACGGCAUCGAAGCAGUCUAUGUCAUACUUCCAAGAAAAGCUUGCAAUGUCAUAAACAAAUAAUGCCUGUACCAUAACCGACACAGGUGGGUAGGUAGAGUAUACUAAGGGGCGCGAGAUAACUCUCUCUAAGGAACUCGGCAAAAUGACUCCGUAACUUCGGGAGAAGGAGUGCCUUAUUUUUAUAAGGUUGCAAUAACAAGAUCCAAGCAACUGUUUACCAAAAACACAGGUCUCCGCUAAGUCGUAAGACGAUGUAUGGGGGCUGACGCCUGCCCAGUGCCAGAAGGUUAAAGAAGUUGGUUAGCAUUAGCGAAGCUGAUAACUGAAGCCCUGGUGAACGGCGGCCGUAACGAUAACGGUCCUAAGGUAGCGAGAUUCCUUGUCGGGUAAGUUCCGACCCGCACGAAAGGCGUAAUGAUUUGGAUACUGUCUCGGAGAGGGGCUCGGUGAAAUAGACUUGUCUGUGAAGAUGCGGACUACCUGCACCUGGACAGAAAGACCCUAUGAAGCUUUACUGUAACUUGAGAUUGAAAUUGGACUUUAUCUGCGCAGUAUAGGUGGGAGACGUUGAAAAUAUUCUUGCGGGAAUAUUGGAGUCAUCAGUGAGAUACCACUCUUAUAAUGUUAGAUUUCUAACUUUGUAUCAUUAUCUGGUCAAAGAACAGUUUCAGGCGGGCAGUUUGACUGGGGCGGUCGCCUCCCAAACGGUAACGGAGGCGCACAAAGGUUUCCUCUGAACGUGUAGAAAUCGUAUCUAGAGUGUAAAGGCAUAAGGAAGCUUGACUGUGAGACCUACAAGUCGAGCAGGGACGAAAGUCGGUCUUAGUGAUCUGACGGUGCUGAGUGGAAAGGCCGUCACUCAACGGAUAAAAGUUACUCUAAGGAUAACAGGCUGAUCUCCCCCAAGAGUUCACAUCGACGGGGAGGUUUGGCACCUCGAUGUCGGCUCAUCGCAUCCUGGGGCGGUAGUACGUCCCAAGGGUUGGGCUGUUCGCCCAUGAAAGCGGUACGCGAGCUGGGUUCAGAACGUCGUGAGACAGUUCGGUCCAUAUCCGGUGUAGGCGUUAGAAUAUUGAGAGGAGCCUUCUUUAGUACGAGAGGACCGAGAAGGACAUACCUCUGGUGUACCAGUUAUCGUGCCAACGGUAAACGCUGGGUAGCCAUGUAUGGAGAGGAUAACCGCUGAAAGCAUCUAAGUGGGAAGCCCACCUCAAGAUAAG